GGAGGAUCCUCUGGCAACGAGCAGGCGCCCAGAGCCGCUCUGGACACUGAGGCCUCCGUGUCCCACAGCAACGGGAACACCACGGGGACGUGGCAACGCUCCUGUGACACCACAGCAGCCGCUCACGCAAAAACCACCUGGAAGCUUCUCCUGUGUCACAAAGGAGCACAAAGAAUCCUCCCAGGGCACAGCCUAUUGCCCAAAGGAUCCAAGAGGAACUCUGAAAAUGCAGCAAACAAGGACACCCCAUAGCCCAGCCAGAGCACUGAGGAGGAACGAGGACUGCACCAAACCAGAGCAAACACGACCUGUAGUCACUGAUACUGCUGAAUAAAACCAGCAAGGCUUGUUCCAUCUGGAAUCUUUGUUCUAGUUCUAAAAACAAGCAAAAUUCUCCACUGUAAAUAUACAGAAAGCAGGAACUGGGGAGGAGGUUGGAUUAGGAAGGAGGAGGAGCAGGAGGAGGGAGAAAGGAAAAGGAGGAGCAGGAACAGGAAUAGAAGGAGUAGCUGGAGGUUCCAGUGCCCCCUGUGUCCGCAGCACCCCCGGCCACGGGCCCAUCGCCCCCACCUCAUCCUGCAGGAUUUGUCAUUCCCAAGCCAUGGCCAGAUGGAGGAAGAGGAGGAAAAUCCCCAGAGAUCCUGCAUGAGGAGGGGCUGCAAUCCCAGCCCAGGGAGCUGCAAAGAGGAAAGAUCCCCCCUGUGCCAGGAAGGCAUCUGGAGAUCCUGCCGGAGCUCAGAGCUGGGGGAGAGAGCUCAUGGCAGGGAGAAGCCCCACAAAUGCUUGGAAUGUGGGAAGAGCUUCAGCUGGAGCUUCAAGCUGAGGGAACACCAGAGGAUCCACCCUGGGAAAUGGCUCUGGGAGUGUGGGGAGUGUGGGAAGGGCUUCAAGAAUAGCUCCCAUCUGAUCUGGCACCAGGUGAUUCACACUGGGGAGAGCCCCUAGGAGUGUGGGGAGUGUGGGAAGACGUUCAGGAAGAUCUCUGUCCUGAUUAACCACCAUAGGAUCCACACAGGGGAAAAGCCUGGAAAGUGCUUGGAAUGUGGGAAGAGCUUCAGUCGCAGCUCCCACCUGAUCUGGCACCAGAACAUCCACACAGGAGAAUGCCCCAGCGAGUGUGGAGAAUGUGGGAAGAGCUUCAUUGAGAUGUCCAAUCUGAUUUGUCACCAGAAGAUACACACAGGGGAAAUGCCCUACACGUGUGGGGAGUGUGGAGAGGGCUUCAGCUGGAGCUCCAACCUCAGGGCACACCGGUGCAUCCUGAGUGUGGGAAGAGAUUUCCAAUGAGCUCAAGUCUCAUCAAACAUCAGUGGAUUCACACAGAGGAGAGGCCCUUCCACUGCCCUGACUGUGGGAAGAGCUUCACAAAACUGCACCCUCAUCAGGCACCGACACAUCCACACUGGGGUGAGGCCCUACGAGUGUCCCCAGUGUGGGAAGAGCUUCUCACAGAGCUCAACCUUGACCAAACAGAACUUCCGGACUCCCUGUGGGCACCUGGAUGAACACAGGGGCAGGAAUAUCCAUCAGAACACAGACCAACAAUGGGAAUUGCAGAUUGACAGCCCCUGAAGAUUCACCAGAAUGCAGAGAUACACCUGCAGUCCCUGGAGAAGCCCAUGCCAGAGCAGGGGAAUGCCUGAGAUGAGGCUGUGACCCCGGGGGACACCUGUGGACAGAGGGGUCCCUGCUGGAGCCGCCUGUCCUGGAAGGUCUGACCCCGUGGCAGAGUGACCCACGCUGCAGCACUGUGAGGGGGCUGCUUCCAUGGAAUGGACUCAGGUUGGAGAAGUUCCUGGAGACCUCUCUGGUGGGAGAGAUCCCAGAGUGCAGCAGGGGAAUGACUCCUGUCCCUGAACAGCAGGAAAAGCCCUGGGAGAUGAACUGACCAUGGCUCCAUUCCCUGUAUCCCUGCACUGCCAGGUUAGGAUGCAGAGCUGGAAGGAGGGAGGGGUGGAAGGAAGGUGCUUUUAAGGGUCUUCUUAUUCUCCUGCUCUGAGCUUAUUGGCAAUAAAUUCAAUUCAUAUCUCC